rnacentral:misc_RNA from 1 species
AAUCAGGAAAAAAUUGGGAAUAAAUCUGGAAUGUCGUACUUAGAAUGUGUUAUCUCUUUUCUGUGAAUUUCAAUCUAUUUAGUUUUGUCGCUGCAAUUAAUCUCGAUGGCGCUUCUGUCGAAAUAAUACCGAGCCAUAUGAGGAAGCUACGGAACAGCAUAGAGCUUAGAAAGAUUUUCUGCGAACGUAACCCAUAAAAAUAUGGAGAUCUACUAUUUUGGUUGACUUUAGCUUUUUACACCUAACGUGAUCUAACACUCAGCGUUAUAUGCUGCAAUCUCUUUAUACCUCGAGGUUGAAAUUAUUGGAAAAUAGGAACAAUGAGACGGUACGUCGAUCUUGCUAAAGUAGCAUCUAAUUAUGCGAUGCGAAUGAACCGGCUAAGGAACAGAAUAUUUGGAGAGGUAGUUCGUACUACAAAUGAACAAUCAAUGAAGGUCGUGAAGAUGUUCAGUGCUCCACCUUUGAACACACGAAAAGAUAUCGUUGAUUAUUACCCAAGGCACGUUGAGACUGGCAAAUUAAUGAGACAUCUUCGUUACUAUGGCUUGUUCAGAGACGAACAUGAAGAUUUCAAAGAAGAAAUGGUGCGUCUCAGGGCGUUGCGUGGCAAAGUCAAACCUGUGAAACAACGCAAAGAAGCCAAGAAAGAAUAAUUACCUAGUAGAUUUAAAGACCACUGGAGAUCCAGGAUUUCCUGCACAGGCUGCAAUUCUAUCUUCUGACUCCGUCAUCACGCAGAAAACAUGGGGCAACGUAACUCUGCCAUCCAAAUAUCAAACAAUUUUUAUAAUCAUUGUUUGGAGCAACUGGAGCAACAGC